AGUUAGCGCGGUGGCCGGGGGAGGGGCGGGAGGGUGGAAGCGGGGGGCGAGGAGGAGGAAAUCGAGGGGGAGGCAGGGGACGAGGUGAUGGGGUGCAGAGGUGAGGAGUCAAGUCCGACGAGCCGGCGGCGGGCGGAGUCAGCGGGCGGCGCGGGGCGGACGCCGCGGGGACUCGGAGAGCUCGGGAGGCAGCGCAGGGCGGGCAGGCCGGGUCCUCGGGCACCGCAUGCGGGGUGCAGGGCUCCCUUCCCGUGAGAUCACAACGUAGAGCGGGGUCUGAGUCCACCCGCGGCCGGCGAGGCCCCGCGCGCCGUGUCCUGCUCCUGCUCCUCCUCCUCCUCCUCCGCCUCCUCCCGGCGCGGCUCCUUCCGCCCCGCCGCGGCGGGCGCGCCCUCUGCGCGCUCCCUCCUGCUCUCCGCGGAACCCCCGCGUCCCUCUUGCGACGAGGGCCCGGAGGUUUCAUCCUCAGAAACCCAACAAGUUCCACUAGCCCAGCAUAUCUGCCAUCCUGAGAAGUGGAAGUUCUGGAUCUCUGCCAUGGAUGGGAAAAGAGGAGGCGUCUCUCUUUACUGUUCUAUGUCAUCCCUGAGGAAAAUGGAUGCCCUUAUUUUCUAUACUCCUUAGGGCCCUCUUUGCUUAUUUUUAGCCAGUUCUUUAUUAUUCCAACCCUCUGUUACAGUCAAUAAUUCUAUAUUAAAACUAUUAUUUUUCAAA